AUAUUGGUCAAUGGGCGCAAGCCUGAACCAGCCAUGUCGCGUGCAGGAAGACGGCCCUAUGGGUUGUAAACUGCUUUUGUAUGGGAAGAAAGUUAGCUACGUGUAGCUAUUUGCCGGUACCAUACGAAUAAGGAUCGGCUAACUCCGUGCCAGCAGCCGCGGUAAUACGGAGGAUCCGAGCGUUAUCCGGAUUUAUUGGGUUUAAAGGGUGCGUAGGCGGACUGGUAAGUCAGUGGUGAAAUACUGCAGCUUAACUGUAGAAUUGCCGUUGAUACUGCCAGUCUUGAGUACAGUUGAGGUAGGCGGAAUGUGGUGUGUAGCGGUGAAAUGCAUAGAUAUACCACAGAACACCGAUUGCGAAGGCAGCUUACUAAAGUGUCACUGACGCUGAUGCACGAAAGCGUGGGUAUCAAACAGGAUUAGAUACCCUGGUAGUCCACGCUGUAAACGAUGAUUACUGGUUGUUAGCGAUAUACCGUUAGUGACUGAGCGAAAGCAUUAAGUAAUCCACCUGGGGAGUACGUCGGCAACGAUGAAACUCAAAGGAAUUGACGGGGGCCCGCACAAGCGGAGGAACAUGUGGUUUAAUUCGAUGAUACGCGAGGAACCUUACCUGGGUUUAAAUGGGAAGUGACAGACUUGGAAACAGGUUUUUCUUCGGACACUUUUCAAGGUGCUGCAUGGUUGUCGUCAGCUCGUGCCGUGAGGUGUCGGGUUAAGUCCCAUAACGAGCGCAACCCCUAUCGGUAGUUACCAGCACAUAAUGGUGGGGACUCUGCCGAGACUGCCGGUGUAAACCGUGAGGAAGGUGGGGAUGACGUCAAAUCAGCACGGCCCUUACAUCCAGGGCUACACACGUGUUACAAUGGCCGGUACAAAGGGCAGCUACCCCGCGAGGGGAUGCGAAUCUCAAAAACCGGUCUCAGUUCGGAUUGGAGUCUGCAACCCGACUCCAUGAAGCUGGAUUCGCUAGUAAUCGCGCAUCAGCCACGGCGCGGUGAAUACGUUCCCGGGCCUUGUACACACCGCCCGUCAAGCCAUGGGAGCCGGGGGUACCUGAAG
rnacentral:rRNA from 1 species